rnacentral:rRNA from 1 species
AACUUUCAACAAUGGAUCUCUUGGCUCUGGCAUCGAUGAAGAACGCAGCGAAAUGCGAUAAGUAGUGUGAAUUGCAGAAUUCAGUGAAUCAUCGAAUCUUUGAACGCACAUUGCGCCCCUUGGCAUUCCAUGGGGCAUGCCUGUUCGAGCGUCAU